UAAAUAUAUUAUUAGGUAGAA
rnacentral:piRNA from 1 species